rnacentral:rRNA from 1 species
AGCGAACGCUGGCGGCAGGCUUAACACAUGCAAGUCGAGCGGGCACUUUCGGGUGUCAGCGGCGGACGGGUGAGUAACGCGUGGGAACGUGCCCUCUGGUUCGGAAUAACUCAGGGAAACUUGAGCUAAUACCGGAUACGCCCUUUUGGGGAAAGGCUUGCUGCCGGAGGAUCGGCCCGCGUCUGAUUAGCUAGUUGGUGAGGUAACGGCUCACCAAGGCGAGGAGCAGUAGCUGGGCUGAGAGGAGGAUCAGCGAGACUGCGACUGGGACACGGCCCAGACUCGUACGGGAGGCAGCAGUGGGGAAUAUUGGACACGGGGCGCAAGCCUGAUCCAGCCAUGCCGCGUGAGUGAUCAAGGCCUUAGGGUUGUAAAGCUCUUUUAUCCGGGACGAUAAUGACGGUACCGGAGGAAUAAGCCCCGGCUAACUUCGU